UGGGGAAUAUUGGGCAAUGGGCGAAAGCCUGACCCAGCAACGCCGCGUGAGGGAAGAAGGUUUUCGGAUUGUAAACCUCUGUCGCAGGAGACGAAAGAAAUGACGGUAUUCUGUGAGGAAGCCCCGGCUAACUACGUGCCAGCAGCCGCGGUAAUACGUAGGGGGCGAGCGUUGUCCGGAAUUACUGGGCGUAAAGGGUGCGUAGGCGGCGCGAUAAGUUGGAUGUGAAAAGCCCGUGCUUAACAUGGGAGGUGCAUCCAAGACUGUCGUGCUAGAGUACAGGAGAGGGAAGCGGAAUUCCUAGUGUAGCGGUGAAAUGCGUAGAUAUUAGGAGGAACACCGGUGGCGAAGGCGGCUUUCUGGACUGACACUGACGCUGAGGCACGAAAGCGUGGGGAGCAAACA
rnacentral:rRNA from 1 species